rnacentral:lncRNA from 1 species
GUCUCAUCCUGAUCGAAGUAUCCUGCAUCACUCAAAACGCAGAUUAAAUCAUAAACACAUAUCAAGUGGUUUCAUCAUCAAAAUACGAGAUUCAACACAAACUUCUAUUUCAAAUGAGCCUACAAAUUCUGAAAAACAGGGAUCGUAAUUUCUGACCUUUUGAUACUGAACUGCCUAUAAGUCCCUGUUGGAAACUUUGAUUUAUUCAAAGUUUAUUUCAUUGGAAACUAGACUCG